rnacentral:rRNA from 1 species
GACGAACGCUGGCGGCGUGCCUAAUACAUGCAAGUAGAACGCUGAAGGAGUAGCUUGCUUCUCCGGAUGAGUUGCGAACGGGUGAGUAACGCGUAGGUAACCUGCCUGGUAGCGGGGGAUAACUAUUGGAAACGAUAGCUAAUACCGCAUAACAGUAGAUAUCGCAUGAUAUCUGCUUGAAAGGUUCAAUUGCAUCACUACCAGAUGGACCUGCUUUGUAUUAGCUAGGUGGUGAGGUAACGGCUCACCAAGGCGACGAGACAUAGCCGAACGGUGAGGGGGAUCGGCCACACUGGGACUGAGACACGGCCCAGAGUCCUACGGGAGGGAGCAGUAGGGAAUCUUCGGCAAUGGGUGGAAGUCUGACCGAGAAACGCCGAGUGAGUGAAGAAGGUUUUCGGAUCGUAAAGCUCUGUUGUCAGAGAAGAAAGAGUGUGAGAGUGGAAAGUUCCCAGUGUGACGGUAUCUUACCAGAAAGGGCCGGCUAACUACGUG